AUACGUAGGGUGCGAGCGUUAAUCGGAAUUACUGGGCGUAAAGCGUGCGCAGGCGGAUUGUUAAGCAAGAUGUGAAAUCCCCGGGCUCAACCUGGGAACUGCAUUUGUGACUGCAAGGCUAGAGUACGGCAGAGGGGGAUGGAAUUCCGCGUGUAGCAGUGAAAUGCGUAGAUAUGCGGAGGAACACCAAUGGCGAAGGCAAUCCCCUGGGCCUGUACUGACGCUCAUGCACGAAAGCGUGGGGAGC
rnacentral:rRNA from 1 species